GUUGUAUGGUUAAGUGACUAAGCGUACACGGUGGAUGCCUUGGCAGUCAGAGGCGAUGAAGGACGUAUUAACUUGCGAUAAGCCCAGAUUAGGCAGUAAAAGCCGCUUGAGUCUGGGAUUUCCGAAUGGGGAAACCCACUUGCAUAAGCAAGUAUCAUUAACUGAAUACAUAGGUUAAUGAGGCAAACCGGGGGAACUGAAACAUCUAAGUACCCCGAGGAAGAGAAAUCAA
rnacentral:rRNA from 1 species